rnacentral:rRNA from 1 species
CCUACGGGAGGCAGCAGUGAGGAAUAUUGGUCAAUGGACGAGAGUCUGAACCAGCCAAGUAGCGUGAAUGAUGACUGCCCUAUGGGUUGUAAACUUCUUUUAUAAAGGAAUAAAACGAGGCACGUGUGCCUUUUUGCAUGUACUUUAUGAAUAAGGAUCAGCUAACUCCGUGCCAGCAGCCGCGGUAAUACGGAGGAUCCGAGCGUUAUCCGGAUUUAUUGGGUUUAAAUGGAGCGUAGAUGGGUUGUUAAGUCAGUUGUGAAAGUUUGCGGCUCAACCGUAAAAUUGCAAUUGAUACUGGCAGUCGUGAGUACAGUUGAGGUAGGCGGAAUUCGUGGUGUAGCGGUGAAAUGCUUAGAUAGCACGAAGAACCCCGAUUGCGAAGGCAGCUUACUAAACUGUGACUGACAUUGAUGCUCGAAAGUGUGGGUAUCAAACAGGAUUAGAUACCCGGGUAGUC